GAUUUUUCCAGUAUUAAUUGGAUCCAGCUAUUAAUUGGAUUUAUAAAGACAGUCAAUUAUUUCUAAACUUUUUAUUUCCCUUACAGUAAGUCUGCUAAUUUUCCUAUUGAUAUUAACAAUCCCACAUCUGUAUCUUUUUCUAGUCCCUCUUUUUGGAAUAUUAUUCUCUUCUAUUAGAACAUUUUCUUUUAGUACCUGCUAUCUAGAAAAUACUGUGGUGGCAGUGGGAUGAUAAGAGAUGAAUAAAACCCUGCUGUGGAGUUUACUAUCUAGUUAAAGAGGAGAAAUGUGUUAUGUAAACAACUUCUUAUAAUAAAAUAAAUGCUAUAAUAGAGACAUGAACAAAACGCUAUCAGACCACAGAAGAACACUCACUUCUAAGUGGAGGAAAUAUGAAAGACCUCAAGGAAGAAAUGUCAUUUGAAAAGCACCUAGAAGGAUGAGUAGGCUCUCAAAAGACUGAGACGGGACAGGAUUUCUGACUGAGCACAGAGAUUGGGUCCUCGUUUGUCAAUGGUUUUGCAUUUGGAUGGAAUGCUAGAUAUACGGUGGCUAGCGAAUGAACAAUUCUGAAGAAAAAAAAAUCACUCUAAGGUUUUUAUCUCUUCUUCUGAAUACAAAGGCCAUAUAUCUACCUAUUUUCAACAUUUGUUCUUAUUUA